rnacentral:lncRNA from 1 species
AGACAGUCGUGAAUUGUGAAUGAUAACAAACGUACUGAUAAGGAGCAAGACGACAGCCAUUUUUGCGUAUCACAAAGUUGCUGCCACACCUAUUUAUUUUGUCAUGAUGCUUCACACAGCCACGUAUUUGUUUUAAAAAAAAUUUAGAUUGUCUCGUCUAUGUUGGAAAAAGUUAAGUUAAUGUUUGUUUUCUUUUGUUUUCUCUUCCUGUGAGGAUCUGUCAUUUUACGGGUUUUCGCGUAGGGAACAAACGCAAACGGUUUGCCUUCUGUUUAGUUACUGAUACUACAUAAUAUAUUACAAAUUAUGAAGUUGUAUUUAGGUACUUACCUCCGCGAAAACGAGCUUAUAGCUCGAUAGUGAAUUUACCGGUCCAGGAAAUAAAGUUGCGGAUACAAAUAUUUCAUAAAUUUAUCAAAGACAAAUCAAGAUUGGUAACACUCAAACACGACGUUGAAUAUCAUAAUUUGGCUACUCAAGAAGAAGUUUACCGUUGAACCGAAGACACCGACGACAUGGUCAUUUUUUAAAAAUGUAGUUUUCCCUGCAAUCAAUAAGCUACAUGUCUCCUCAAAAACGAGAAUAUUGAAUUGCAUACCAGCAACAAGUGACGAUUCAGCAGAAAUAAUCAUAUUUAAGGAUGAUCGGAAUGAUGUUUGCCUGGAUAUUGAAUCGUGCUUUGUGGCAGCUCAUGGACUUGCAGUAUGAGGAAAACGAGAGAAGUGGCAAUUAUUUCCUCGCCGUCCAUUACUGACAAUCUACUGUAUUGACAUACAACAGUCAUACAAUAUUGAUGAUGCCUAUGAAGAUUUUACAGCAGUAUAUGAAGCUGUCUUCUUUAAACCACUACUGAUGCAUAAUAACUUUCAUUUAAAGGCAAAAACAUUGAGAGGAUAUCACCAAGAUAAUUGGGUACGACAUGGCUACCCAUACAUUUUGUAACACAAAGACAGGGUCUUUGACUAUGGUGGCCGUUGCUGGCAAUUUGAAGUACGUGAAAAUCCAAGCUGUAAGGUAAAAUCUAUAACAGCAUCAGUGAACAAUGAACUCCAUCCCUUCAAUGACUAUCUUAACAAUAAAUUAAAAGUGCCAUUGGAGGUGAAAUUAGUGGCUGUCUAGAGUUUCGGUGAACUGGCUGAACUAGAAAAUGCCUCUUGGCCAUGCUUGCCAUGGUAUGGUCUAAGAAUGUACAGAUGGCAGUUUGGACCAGAAAUUAUAACACACUAAUAGAGCUGGUCUAGCUGUAUUAAAUGAUAAUUGUAUGGUGCUUUAAAAGCACCUCUUAAGUCUUCUGUCGAUGUGUUAGAUUUAUCUACAAUAUCGCCUUAUUGGAAACCAUCAAUUGACAUAUUAGUUAAUCGAAAAAAUUUAAGAGUGUAUAAUAAAUAAUUAUUUAUGUCAUGAAACUAAGUAGGUGGUAUUAAAUGGUUAAAUAGUGUAGGGGUUUUUGACCGCAGCUAGUAAGUACUGAUGAAUGGCGUCUGGUAUCCAUACACCAUUCUUCAGUACUGCGAUCAAAAACCUCUGCACUAUUUAAACUUUCAAUACCAUCAAUACCGCCAACCUUAGUUUCAACUCCUAAAUCUUAUCAUGUAAUUAAUAUAUCAAAAUGGUUUGCAUCUGUUAAUUAUUGGGUUUUAUAUGCUGUUAACUAAUAUUCUAUUUUACAUUAUUUUAAACUCGUAAUACAUUUCCUACAAUGGUUAUCGGAAUAAAAAUAAUCCCCCUUAUGGAAGAAUAUAAAUCACAGAAUAAAUGAACAAAAAAUAAAAUAUUUUGAUAAAUUAAAAUUUUAAAUUAACAAAUAAAUAAUAUACUAAUAUUAAUAUUUGUUUAUAUACUCAAUUCAAUGACCAACACGCCUUUAAUAAACUUGAUUUAAUUUUUUUUUACUUAAGGUAAUUAAAUUAUAAUAUUAUUAAUGUUAUUACCACGGUUAACUACUCAGGUUGGAACACGCCGUAUAUUGACCCACAAUAAACAAUAACCCAGUUUUGUGUACAGCUCUAGCUGUAUGUUCCCUGCAUAUUAACUAUUAAUUAAGCUUUUCAUUGUUAUGCAGCCUGCAAGGAUACCAAAUCAAAUUAUAUUUUUUUUUAUCUAGUUAUUAAUAAUUAGUUUUAAAUUUGUACUGAUUGUAAGAAUCUAAUAUUGAUCUAUCAUUUGAUAAAGUUAUGAGCACUACCAAAUUUCAUACAUUUUGAUUGUUGUGCAGUUUGAAUAUUAUAAUAAUAGUAUUAUUAUACACAGCUGGAUCUUUCUUAUUGAUGUAUAUUUUAUAAGGGCCAUUUAAAAUAUGUACUUGUUUUUCUGGCCAACAUUCAAUUAGAGCAGUGUUUCUCAACCAGUGGUAUGCGGAAAGUAUGCUAAGAAAAUACACUACUAUAAACUACUACAGUACAUUUAAAAAACCCUAAACUUCUAUGAUAUUGAAAUUAUAUGUGAUACAUAUAUUCAAUUUUGGUAUUCAUAUAAUUGUUAGU